rnacentral:lncRNA from 1 species
GGAGGACUGUGCACUGUGCCAGGAGACCCUGUCAUCCUCUGAACUGGCAGCCAAGACCCGCGAUGGGGACUUUGAAGACCCCCCGGAGUGGGUGCCAGACGAGGCCUGUGGCUUCUGCACGGCGUGCAAAGCACCCUUCACCGUCAUCCGCCGGAAGCACCACUGCCGCAGCUGUGGGAAGGUGGGUGAGACCCCUUGCACGGAGGGUCCCUCAGCAUCCAAGGGCGUCCACGGACAGAGCCUGAGGUCUGGAAGUCAGAACCGAUGCCCAGGGAGGCCAGCGAGGCCUGUGGGGUCUUGUGCAGAGGCCCCUGGAGGUCCCGGGCCCUGUUCUGACUCCAGGCAUUUGACCACGGGAACCUGGAUGGUGCCCAUGUCCAGUCCCGGCUGCUGCAGAGCCAGCCACAGAGAGGGGACAGCGAGUGUGAACAGGAGCCUGCAGCAGCCUUGGUGCAGGACGUGGACCCCUCAUAGAGUCCAGCCUCCUGAAGGUCACAACCCCUGGCAGCUGGGGCUGGGCAGUCCCCACCCACCAAUGCGGCCUGAGCUGGGUGGGUAGGUGUGUGGGAGGGCG